UACGGAGGGGGCUAGCGUUGUUCGGAAUUACUGGGCGUAAAGCGUACGUAGGCGGCUUUGUAAGUUAGAGGUGAAAGCCCGGGGCUCAACUCCGGAAUUGCCUUUAAGACUGCAUCGCUUGAAUCAUGGAGAGGUGAGUGGAAUUCCGAGUGUAGAGGUGAAAUUCGUAGAUAUUCGGAAGAACACCAGUGGCGAAGGCGACUCACUGGUCCGGUACUGACGCUGAGGUGCGAAAGCGUGGGGAGCAAACAGG
rnacentral:rRNA from 1 species